rnacentral:rRNA from 1 species
UACGAAGGGGGGCUAGCGUUGCUCGGAAUCACUGGGCGUAAAGGGCGCGUAGGCGGCCAUUCAAGUCAGAGGUGAAAAGCCCAAGGCUCAACCUUGGAACUGCCUUUGAUACUGUUUGGCUUGAGACCGGUAGAGGUAAGUGGAACUGCGAGUGUAGAGGUGAAAUUCGUAGAUAUUCGCAAGAACACCAGUGGCGAAGGCGGCUUACUGGACCGGUUCUGACGCUGAGGCGCGAAAGCGUGGGGAGCAAACAGG